AAGACUAUAGACCUGCGGAGUACCUGCGGAGGGAUCAUUAGUGAAUUAGCACCCAGGGAGUCCCUUUCUCGCCGAAAGAAGGCCCGCUAUCCACUUAUUUCUCACACGUGUGAACUGUUCUUGAGCUUGGACGCUCGGGGGUGUACCCUUGUCAUGAGGGUCUGCUUUCCCUGUCCAGCUCUCUUAACUUAACCCUUUUGUGUUUGCAAAAGUCUUUGAAUUACAAUUGAUCAAAUGAAA
rnacentral:misc_RNA from 1 species